rnacentral:rRNA from 1 species
GAUGAACGCUGGCGGCGUGCCUAAUACAUGCAAGUCGAACGAACAGACGAUGAGCUUGCUCCUCUUACGUUAGCGGCGGGCGGGUGAGUAACACGUGUAUCACCUACCUAUCUUUCUGGGAUAACUUCGAAACACCGGAUAUAAUACCAUAGAAUAUCUUGAACCGCGUGGUGCAAUAGUAAAUGACGGUUUUGCUGUCUCUUAUAGAUGCAUCCGCGCCGGAUUGUCUGGUUGUUAAGGUCACGGCUUACCAAGGCAACGAUGCGUAGCCGAACUGAGAGGGUGAUCGCCCACAUUGGAACUGAGACAGGGUCAAGACUCCUACGGGAGGCAGCAGUAGGGAAUAUUAGGCAAUGGGCGAAAGCCUGACGGAGCAACGCCGCGUGAGUGAUGAAGGUCUUCCGAGCGUAAAACCCUGUUAUGAGGGAAGAACAACUGUGUAAGUAAAUAUGCACGUAUUGACGGUAACUAAUAAGAAAGCAACGGCUAACUACGUG